ACAAGCCCGGCUGCUGCAGCGAAGAUGCCUUUUGCCCUGCAUUCAGCAGCACCAAAGUGCAACAGCAGCCAAGGGACAAGGUGGCAUCCUACGUCUUGAGACUAGCACAGGCUUUGCCUACCUGGAAAGCGAGACCAAGCCAUGAAACCGUUGGCACAUUUGACACUUCGACACAAUCACUUCUACCAACGCAGAGAAGAGAGACGCUCGUUAACCACCUCUGAAAACAUCUCGGCAUUGUUCUUCCCUCUGUUCGCAGACUG